CUGGUGCAUAUUUUACACUUACAGCACAUCUCCGUUCAGACUAGCCACAUUUCAAGUGCUCAAUAAUACCCGCAUGUGGCUGGUAGCUGCCAUAUUGGACAGAGCGGGUACAGGAGUUUGAUGGUACAGAGCGGACUGUACCUGGGGAAGGUCAGUGACCAGUUAAGGUGGCAUCAUCCUGGCAGAUCUGAUGCAUCUAGUUGUCUGAUUAGAUCUUUACAGACCUAGUAUGUCAGCACAUGCAGAGCACAACGGUCUUAGAGGAAACUCACAUUAACCAAGCUCACAGUAACUGAUAGUUGUUAAAAAUGUUAGUACUUUAAUUUACAAUGAGAAAUGUAACUAUCAAUCAUUCUCUCCCUUUAGGCAAAUCUUCUGGGGAAGUCCAUUUAUGAUCAGCCGGUUACUUGGUGAGCGUGGAUUCUGAGCAAGGGAAGCAAGUUGCCUCAUGCAUCCAUCUCCCUAUGGGGACUCACCUGCUGAUUUUCAUGUUUGUGGACCAGGGUACGCUCUUCCCCCGGAUGAUUGUAGAGAUUCUCUGCCAGUAGUUGCCUCUCCACAUCAGCUUCUGAUGGGCACAUCCAGUAAAUCUGUCAGUACCUUCAGCCUUUGUCUCAGUUGAACCUGCCUGGGUUCCAUCUGCCGGUGUACGAUUGCUUGCUUCUGCUCUGAUCCAUUUCUUAUUGUUUGAUAGUCAAAGGAUUAUCUUAUUUCCUUUCUUGGGGGAGACACCUCAAUGUUGCUCCCGUCUCCUGCCUACACGUAGAAUAAACCCACUGACAGAUUAUGUUUUGUUACAUAUAUGUGGAAGUCACCAUCUAUAGCCCUGCUCCUUAAAUAUAACCUAUAUUCCUUGAACAUUGGUUUUCUAGAAAAAUUUGAGGAAACAGUUCAGAAAUUUAGAAGAUUACAUUUCAAAUAAGUAAAUGUUAUGGAACAGAAAAAUUCACAUGAACUUUUAAAACAGGAGACUUCAAAGAAUUGUCGAGCAUGUCGCAGCCCUGUGGGGCUCUACCCAACACUUCAGUAGUAGGGGGGCAUCUCCUCUGCUCUGGAGGUAAAGGUCCUUGGAGAGAAAACUUUGGCAAGCCUUAGCUUAAUGAAAAACCAAUCUGGUACCUGGUCAAUAUUUCUAUUAUGUAAAUGUGAUGGUUUAUAAUGAUCCUCUUUGUAUAAAAGAAGCAAAUAUUUUAUGUCCUUUGCAAACCUGGAAAAUAUAUUUGUACCUGAGGUACAGGUUAGAGGUGCUAGUAAUUCUUUGAAGAUUCCUAUAACAGUUUCUUUUCCAAAAUGCUUUCUUGGCUCUUAAAACUUUGAGUUUUCUUAAAACUCUAACUUUCACAUCAGGGUUUACAGUGUUUUCAUGUGUACUUUUUUUAAUGUAUAAAUAUUUUGUUUAAAUCCUCUCCUGAUCAGUGUCUCCUGCUUGAGAAAAUAAACAGUGACCGACAGCUACUAUGCAUUCACUAAUGUUUUUAAAUAAAUGUGCAUACUACUCACCAUGGCAUCAGCACACAUCUGAAACAUACAGUUGUACAGUUAUGUGCAAGACUUAGUCUGAGCCAUUCCUUGCUCGCUACGGAUCUGCAGACAACCUGUGUCUUUGGAAGGCCCCCAAGGAUCCAUGGUCUUUUCCUCGGAGGUGAGCUGACAGGGGGCGCACAGCAGGUCUCCUCCAACUUCUAGGCUCUUGUGCACAGGGCUAGCUUCAAUUGGGCCAUCGAUGUUUGAGCAAACUAAUUCGGUAUUAAUGUGUUUUCUCUUUAGCCAUCAAUCUAUAACAUUGAGAAAUGAUAUUGAAACUAAUCUGUCUGUGCUGAAUCAUGUGGUCAGCACCAUCUGAGUUCCUGUUGUGUGCAGAGUACUGCACUGGAUAUAAUAAAGGUAGAUUGCUUAUCUCCAUUUUGUUUUGCCUAUUUCUAUAAAUUGGGCAGAACAGCUUCCUCUCCCAGCCUUGAAGGAAUGAGUGGCCCCGUGUAGGAAUGCCUGCAUAGACCGCACAUGCUUGACAACUUUGGAUGAUUUUAUCCCCCAAGAAGAAACUUUUAAUUUUGGAGAAGUGGUUUCCUCGGGUUGUCGUCUUCACCAAUGAGACACAGACUCGGGAAUUUAAUACAUCAAGACGACAGGCUUCUUGUACGGAAGGGCUUGUGACUGGAGACACAACAGGAACUACAGUUUUCCUGCUCUACCCCAAGCCUGUGCAAGUAGGUAUACAGGAGGACAUCCAGCAGCAGUCUGCUGGAAACUACAGUGACCUCACGUAAAAUGUAUGCAGCAUGAUGACUUACGUACACACUUGGAAGUAAUUACUACAAUCAAGUUAAUGAGCGUAUCCCAGUUUCCCUCACAGUUUCACGCGGUCAUGUCUGAGUUCUGGUGAACAAGAUGUCGGCAGAUGUUGAUAAGCCACCUAGGAAAGCUGUUUACAAGGAGAGGACUCCAGGAGAAAGUCCUUUCAUCUGUAGCUCCACCCACUCGCUCCUCCUGAGCCUUGAGUACAAGGUGAUGGCUGGACUUAAGAGUCACAGACAACCAAAAGCUAACCUGAAUGCAGAAGUCGAUUCUAAUGACGGCAGGGAGCCUGGCUGGGUCCCUGUGGACACUGUGGAGCCACUGUCAGCUUCAGACUAUCUACUAUGGAUGGGUUUGAUUUGAGAGAAAUAAACCUCCAUCCUCUAGAAGUCACCAUUUUGGGGGGCAUCUCUGUUAAAUGUAGUCGAACCUAAUCCUGUUAUAGAACCAUCAUUAAACUCCAUUUUAUCUUCUA